rnacentral:rRNA from 1 species
UACAGAGGUCUCAAGCGUUGUUCGGAUUCAUUGGGCGUAAAGGGUGCGUAGGUGGCGUGGUAAGUCGGGUGUGAAAUUUCGGAGCUUAACUCCGAAACUGCAUUCGAUACUGCCGUGCUUGAGGACUGGAGAGGAGACUGGAAUUUACGGUGUAGCAGUGAAAUGCGUAGAGAUCGUAAGGAAGACCAGUGGCGAAGGCGGGUCUCUGGACAGUUCCUGACACUGAGGCACGGAAGGUCAGGGGAGCAAACGGG